ACACCAUCCAGAGCGGCUGAGAGACCUGGCUCGUCGACGCCGCAGCAACCACGCCGUCGGCAUGCGUCCGGCGGUGCGGUGCUCCCGCCAGGACCGAUGGAAG
rnacentral:ncRNA from 1 species